rnacentral:rRNA from 1 species
AUGGGUUCCAGGGAGGAAUCCAGGGCUCGACUUAGGGCGGAUGUGUGGGACCCUGCGCUGCGGGUCACGGACGAGGAAAAUGAGAACCUGAGCUUGGCCUUCCUCCCUGAGGAGAUUGACAAGGCGACGCUGGGUAUGAAAUCAGACACUGCGCCCGGGCCAGAUGGGUGGCCGGUGGCGAUGUUUAAGCGGUUUUGGCAAGUGCUUAAAAGUCCUAUUUUCGACGUUUGCAAUGGUUUUAUGGGCGGUACGGUAGAUAUCUCUCGCCUGAACUUUGGGGUUCUCUCUCUGAUCCCCAAGGUCCCGGGCGCGGAUCACAUUAGACUUUUUCGCCCUAUCCCUUUGAUUAAUGUUUCAUUUAAAAUUUGUGCCAAGGCUUGUUCUACUCGCAUGUCUCCGAUAGCCCAUCGCAUUAUCAGUAGGACCCAGUCGGCUUUCAUUCGUGGCCGUAACAUCUUGAAGGGGCCGUUGGUCCUCCAAGAAAUAGUCCACUCCCUGAAACGCGCUCGACAGCCCGCGAUUCUCCUCAAACUAGAUUUUGAGAAGGCGUACGACCAUGUGAACUGGGAGUUUCUCCGACAAGUCCUCCUGGAUCGAGGAUUCUCGUCGGUUUGGGUUCACCGCAUAAUGCAGUUGGUCUCGGGAGGCCAAACGACGAUUGCGGUGAAUGGAGAAGUAGGGAACUUCUUCCGCAACAAGCGCGGGCUGCGUCAAGAGGACCCAGCCUCGCCGUUGCUUUUUAACUUUGUGGCGGACGCCUUAGGCGCCAUGCUAGACAGAGCUCGUUUGGCCGGCCACAUCAGGGGAGUGGUGGACAAUCUUAUCCCGGGAGGAGUGUCUCACUUGCAAUAUGCGGACGACACACUUCUCCUAUUCGAGCCCGAUACACAUAGUAUCACUUCGGUCAAGGCAAUACUGCUGUGUUUUGAACUCAUGUCGGGACUCAAAAUAAACUUUCACAAAAGUGAAGUGGUGUCCAUAGGGUUGGACGCGACCGAAAGUCAACGGGUCGCCAACUUGCUUAACUGCAAACUUGGUCAGUUCCAGUUUACCUACCUCGGUCUCCCCAUCGCGGCGAAGAAGUGUGCUAUCUCCGACUGGGAACCCCUCUCCUCCAAGGUUGCGAACAGGGUUUGCCCGUGGAGGGGUCGUUUUAUGUCUUCAGGGGCAAGACUAAUCCUAACCAACUCCAGCCUCUCCUCUCUGCCCAUGUUUGCCAUGGGCCUGUUCUUACUGGCGGACGGGGUACACUCUAAGUUUGAUACACCGUGGUCCCGUUUCUUUUGGGAAGGAGCGGGACCGAAACGGAAAUACCAUAUGGUUAAAUGGCAGGCCGUGUGUCGUCCUAAAGCCCAGGGGGGUCUUGGGAUCAUCAACUCCAAGUUGAUGAACAUCGCACUAAUGUGCAAGUGGAUCUGGAAAAUGACUCGGGGAGAGACUGGCCUCUGGAUCGACCUCCUCCAUGCGAAAUAUUUCCCGCAUGGGAAUUUUUUUGACGCGGCUCCCCGAGGGUCUCCUUUCUGGAACUCCAUUCAAUCCCUCAAACCCUUCUUUGCCAGGGGUGCAAAGUUUGUGGUUAACAAUGGACGCUCCACGCGUCUUUGGCUCGAUUUUGGAUUGGCCGUCGACCCUUAUGGUCGGAGUUUCGCCAACUCUACUCCAUAG